UACGUAGGGGGCAAGCGUUGUCCGGAAUCAUUGGGCGUAAAGCGCACGUAGGCCGAUUGUUAAGUCAGGGGUGAAAUCCUGGAGCUCAACUCCAGAACUGCCCUUGAUACUGACGGUCUCGAGUCCGGGAGAGGUGAGUGGAACUGCGAGUGUAGAGGUGAAAUUCGUAGAUAUUCGCAAGAACACCAGUGGCGAAGGCGGCUCACUGGCCCGGUACUGACGCUGAGGUGCGAAAGCGUGGGGAGCGAACAGG
rnacentral:rRNA from 1 species